UAGACGGUCGCUUUGGCUUGAAAAAGCUGGGGAGGAAAGUCCGGACUCCAAAUGGCAGCACAGGGGGUAACGCCCCUCCACCGUAAGGUGAGGACCAGUGGAACAGAAAGAAUGUCCAGGGCAUUGAUCUUUAAGGCGGGAACGGGAGCCUUUUAGGGAGCUGCUGGAGUGAAAACAGCUAAACUCUGUGCGGAGCAAGAUCAAAUAGGGAAGCGUUCGAGCGCGGCCAGCGCGAAGCUUUCGGGUUGAUUGCUUGAAGAAGUCAGCAAUGGCUUUCUCAGAUGAAUGAUCGUCUCACAAAGUGAUUUCGACACAUCACUUGUCAGACAGAAUCCGGCUUAUCG
rnacentral:RNase_P_RNA from 1 species